GCCGGCGUGGCGCAAUUGGUUAGCGCGUCAGACUUUUAUAAAAUCUGAAUGUUGCGAGUUCGAGUCUCGCCGUUGGCG